CGGUGUUUAACUGGCGUGAUGUGGGACGUCCUACCGGUGGGCUUAGCCUCGCGAGGGGCGGCCCAACUAAUAUCCCGUCGCGGUGCUCUUUACUGAGUGUCGAGUCGGGCCGGUACGUUUACUUUGAACAAAUUAGAGUGCUUAAAGCAGGCUAUCCUCGCCUGAAUACUGCGUGCAUGGAAUAAUGGAAUAGGACCUCGGUUCUAUUUUGUUGGUUUUCGGAACCCCGAGGUAAUGAUUAAUAGGGACAGAUGGGGGCAUUCGUAUUGCGACGUUAGAGGUGAAAUUCUUGGAUCGUCGCAAGACGGACAGAAGCGAAAGCAUUUGCCAAAAAUGUUUUCAUUAAUCAAGAACGAAAGUUAGAGGUUCGAAGGCGAUCAGAUACCGCCCUAGUUCUAACCAUAAACGAUGCCAGCUAGCGAUCCGCCGAAGUUCCUCCGAUGACUCGGCGGGCAGCUUCCGGGAAACCAAAGCUUUUGGGUUCCGGGGGAAGUAUGGUUGCAAAGCUGAAACUUAAAGGAAUUGACGGAAGGGCACCACCAGGAGUGGAGCCUGCGGCUUAAUUUGACUCAACACGGGAAACCUCACCAGGCCCAGACACCGGAAGGAUUGACAGAUUGAUAGCUCUUUCUUGAUUCGGUGGGGGGUGGGGCAUGGCCGUUUUUAGUUGGUGGAGAGAUUUGUCUGGUUAAUUCUGAUAACGAACGAGACUCUAGCCUGCUAAAUAGGCGUACCUUAUGGUAUCGCGAAGGCCCCCGGCUUCGGCCGGUGGGUUUUUACUACCAACGUACAAACAAAUCUUCUAGAGGGACAGGCGG
rnacentral:rRNA from 1 species